GUGGCCAUAGCUCAGCCGGUAGAGCAUCUGGUUGUGGUCCAGAAGGUCGCGGGUUCAAGUCCCGUUGGCCACCCCG
rnacentral:tRNA from 1 species